rnacentral:rRNA from 1 species
CCUACGGGAGGCAGCAGUGAGGAAUAUUGGUCAAUGGCCGGAAGGCUGAACCAGCCAAGCCGCGUGAAGGACGAAGGUGCCAAGCAUUGUAAACUUCUUUUGUCAAGGGACAAAAUCAGGCUCGAGAGCCUGACCGAGGGUACUUGAAGAAAAAGCAUCGGCUAACACCGUGCCAGCAGCCGCGGUAAUACGGAGGAUGCGAGCGUUAUCCGGAUUUAUGGGGUUAAAGGGGUGCGUAGGGGGACUGUUAAGUCAGCGGUAAAAGCCCGGGGCGCAACCCCGGCGAGCCGUUGAAACUGGGUGUCUUGAGAUGUCGAGAGGUAGGCGGAAUGCGCAGUGUAGCGGUGAAAUGCUUAGAUAUUGCGCAGAACUCCGAUUGCGAAGGCAGCAUACCGGCGGCGAUCUGACGCUGAGGCACGAAAGCGUGGGUAUCGAACAGGAUUAGAUACCCUUGUAGUC